rnacentral:rRNA from 1 species
UACGAAGGGGGCUAGCGUUACUCGGAAUCACUGGGCGUAAAGGGUGCGUAGGCGGGUUAUUAAGUCAGAGGUGAAAUCCUGGAGCUCAACUCCAGAACUGCCUUUGAUACUGAUAGUCUUGAGUAUGGGAGAGGUGAGUGGAACUGCGAGUGUAGAGGUGAAAUUCGUAGAUAUUCGCAAGAACACCAGUGGCGAAGGCGGCUCACUGGCCCAUUACUGACGCUGAGGCACGAAAGCGUGGGGAGCAAACAGG